ensembl:lncRNA
ACAGCCAAUCAGCUUGCUUGCUUUGGAGUCCACGCAGCUUAACCUUUUCGCUAGUUCUGGAAACCUGUUGCUCUUCAGACGCGUUUCUAAUCCCGAGAAACUUCCAAAGAACUUUCGAUAGAACUAAUGAAAGGAUAAGGUGUUUGUUCUGUAAUCUGUUUUAAGACCACCUCAACUCUCAUACACACCUUGGAUCGGCAAACAUCCCACCUUGAGGAUGUAAGAAGAUAUUUUAGAGGUGUCUUCUCUUUAUCACCACCCGAUGGUGCAUCUCGAAGGAUGCUGCUUACCUGUUCUCUUUAUCACCACCCAACGCGUGCUCAGGUGCACGGCAGUGUCAUCCCCCAUUGCUUAGACAUGCUUGUGCGGAGUGAGAGGACAGAUUUGAAUCGAUGGCAGACGGGCCCUCUAAACCCACUCCAACUUCUGUCUUUCUCUCAGCCCACUUGGGAUCUGCAGUGUAAUACACCGCAGACUAAAUCCGGUGAUACUCCUGCAGUAUUUGAAGCAUGGGUGGCUGCAUAAUGAGCAGGCAGGCAGAGGGCUUGUGCAGAGAGGAGACCAGAGAGGCAGUAAAAGUCAGCAGUGGUAACCUUGUCCGCCCAUGGUCACGGGUCAUUUGGCAAGUGCGCUACGGAAUUCAUUUCACUAAGAAGGAGAGAAUGCGAGGGGAGAGCGAACGAGAGGAAAUAGGAGGUGACUGAGAGGGACAUUGAUGGAGCAAGAAGGAGAAGAAGAAUUUGAAUAGCAACAACAGCCUGAUGUCUCUUUUAACCUUUUUUAUCCAUAAACAUGGCAGCAUUAGGCUGUUUAAUGAUCAUUGUGCAGCUAUUUCUAAUGGAUUAUCUUAGUAAACAUCACAUCACCAUAGUAUUUUUAGACGCUUUUGCAUUCUGCCAAAAUGCUUAUGUAAAUGGAGUGUUUGGCCAAAAUUGCCUCCAAGUGCACAUCAUAUAUAUAUACAUUCAUUAGUGCUGUCAAGCAAUUAGUCACAAUUAAUCGCAUCCAGAAUAAAAGUUUUUGUUUACGUAAUAUAUGUGUGUGUACUGUGUAUAUGUAUUAUGUAUAUAUAAAUACACACAAAUGCAUAUAUUUAAGAAAAAUAUGUUAUGUUUGUAUAUUAAAUAUAUGUGUUUAUAUAAUAUAAAUAUGAACAUAAACAUAUAUUUGUAAAUACAUGUAAAUAUUUUCAAA